rnacentral:rRNA from 1 species
UACGUAGGUGGCAAGCGUUGUCCGGAUUUACUGGGCGUAAAGAGCGCGCUAGGCGGUCUAGUAAGUCGAAUGUGAAAGCCCCCGGCUCAACUGGGGAGGGUCAUUCGAUACUGCUUACUUGAAGGUAGGAGAGAGAAGCAGAAUUCCCGGUGUAGUGGUGAAAUGCGUAGAUAUCGGGAGGAAUACCGUGGCGAAGCGCUUCUUGGCCUAUUCUUGA